rnacentral:lncRNA from 1 species
AAUCUUGGACCUCCUUUUCGGGCUUCCCGUUGAGCCUGUUGGAUAAACGUAUCACAUCCUUCAUGUAAGUCUCGACUUCGUUAGCUAAGGAGUUCAAGUCUUCGUCCCCAUUGGCCGACGGGCGGUCCUCCAGCCACGUCACCUCGGCGACCAAAUAUGGUUUAGUCCGAAGCAGUUUCGUUACCCGGAACCUUUCUUGGCCUUUACAGAUCAAGAAGAACCGGUCGUCGACGAGACGCUCGUGUUUGACGACCUCCCCGACGCAGCCCACGUCGGCGGUGCCGGUGGCGGCAUCGGCGUAAAUCACGCCGAAACGGAGGUCAGUCUGAAGGAGGGUAUGCAUCAUGAUCCUGUAGCGGAACUCGAAGAUCUGAAGAGGGAGGAUUGCGCCGGGAAAGAGGACGAGAGGGAGAGGGAAGAGCGGGAGCUCGACAACGUCGUCGGAUUUGGGGGAGUUGGUGUGAUGUUUCUCGGAGAAUGAGGAGGCAGAGCAGCGGAGGAGAUUGGGUCUGCGCCGCCACUGGCGGUGGUGAAGUGG